AUUCCUAUUCUCCAAAUUGAGAAACUGCACACCAGCUUCUUCUCUCUUCCUUCCUCGGCGAAAUCGCCACUUCCGACGAUCUCACGCCGGUUCUGCCGGCGUCAUCCUCCUUUGCCCUUGGUUUUCCCUCUCUUAUACUUCUAUUUCCCUUUUCAAUUUUGGAAUCACUGAUUUAGAAGUGAGGCAGCGGUGCCUUUCCUCUCCGGAGAAAUCGCCGAUUACUCUCCGGCGCUCACCGAAUCGUCGAUGCUCUCAAAGUGUCGAGCUCUCUCUCUGCAGCCGGUACCCUGAUGUCGCCGUUGGCUGCUCACGGCGACUGCUCCAGCUCUCGGCAUCACGGUCACUAUCGCGCUCCCCUCCGUCAAUGCCUCAGCUCGGCUGGAGUCCCUACAUCGAGCUGGAACUCGGCCGCGGUUCCCUCAGCCGGCGCCUUUCCGUCGUCACCGCCAUCUGCCGCCAGCCAAUUCCGCCGACGUGCCACGCUGUGGAUAUCUCACCGACGACCGUUAGCCAGCUCCGAUUCUUCGUUCGAGCAGCGGUUCUGCCCGCGGCUACCUCCGCCGGCGUGCUCGCUGUCGAUCUAGCCUCGCGGCAUCGCUCAGCUUCCAUCAUCCGUCGUCGGACAACCUUCCCUAAGCUAAGUCACCCUUUUAACCACUUCGCUGUCUAGUUUAUCAUUUAAGCAUUUCUGAAUCGAUGUUUAGACAGUAGUUGGGUUCAAGUUUCCAACGCUACUAGUUUGUAUAACUAAGCAUAUUGUCGCUUUAGUAUUCUGCUGUGAACACUACUUAUGUUCUGGAAAUCUUUACAAGCUGUGGUUUCUAGCAUGUGGUGUGAAAAGGUUAGCUUCCUCUCAUCUUAAGCAUGUUAUGUGUUGGCUAGCGGCCUAUUAUGCUGUGCUUAAGUUUCUCUACCAUGAGCAUAUGCGUAUGUUCUAUUGCUAUGAGAGGGUGUUGUUUACUUACUGAAAAACCUUGAGAUUGUUGUCUCCGACUUGAUUUCUUCCUCCCUGCCUCGGUUCUUCCUCCCUCUCCUUAGCUUGCUUUCUUCUUACUCUCAAUUUGCUAUAAGGCUGAGCAGUUUUGUGGUGGUGGGAGGGAAUGGAGCCGAGAGGUGGCAUUUAUAGAGGUUCUGUAAUAGAAAGCCUGUUAUGGCUGAUGUCCUUGGCUGAGAAAAGGGGAAAUCUCAGGCUGAGCAGCUGACUGCUCUCUUGGCCUUUUUCUAACUGAUUUUGGUGGAAUAUGGGGUUUAUUAAUUGCUUUUGUUAAUUUAUGGCAGGUGCACUACAAUAGGAUCUUGCUGUUGAUAUCCUUGGCAGCAACGGAUGGAUAAUGGGUACAAAUCUGAAAAUCUCAGCCUUGCAGAGUGUAGUUACUGGGGUGGAAUGGUGCUGGCUGGAGUUUACCUCUUUCGGCCCAGCUCAGCCUCCCUUUUUCGAAAGGCACGCGAGAGGCCUAUUUCCGCUGGCUGUACGCCUUCUAAUUCGGCACAACGACUAUCAAGAAUCUGGGCCGAAAGCCCUUGUUAGAAAGGCCAGAAAUUUGUAGUUCUCGGCUGUAAUAGUGUAGGGAAAGUUUAUUUCCAAUAUUUUUCUUCCGUCAACAUUUGUAAUUUAAAGCUUAGCUUGAAAUUCUCGAAAUUGUAUUUGUACCCCUUUCAAGAAAUAAAAUACUCAUUCAUUCUUAAA